AGUGCAAGCUGCUACCAGCUGAUGUAAACAAACCAAUUUCUGUGUGGUAUUUUUUCAACUGUUGCCGCUUUUUUAAAUUUACUCUAAAAAAUGUUUGAGCGCAAUCAAAAAACUAUAUUCGUGUUAGAUCAUACGCGAUAUUUCAGUAUAUCUAGUGAGCAGUACAUAUCGAUGGAUUACUUAAAGGGCAAACCAUUGCCCGAGACUUCGGCUGCAAGUGCCACAACACCAGUUGCCCAGACGCAGUUGAGUAAGAGCUUGUGGACAUGUGCUGUGGAAUCGUCCAUUGAGUAUUGCCGCAUUGUUUGGGAUCUUUUUCCGGGCAGAAAGCACGUGCGUUUCAUUGUUUCUGACACAGCGGCGCACAUUGUGAACACCUGGAGUCCAAGCACCCAGAAUAUGUCGCAUGUGUCGAAUGCCAUGAUGAUGGUCAGUGUGCCAUCUCGAAGCAUACCACAAUCCUCCGACUAUUCUGUCAUACAUGGACUACGGGCUGCAAUCGAGGCCUUGGCAGAGCCCACAGACGAUCAAGUCCAAGCUGCUCAAUCUGGUUGCACUAAGAUAUCAAAUAAAGGACGCGUCAUCUGUAUUACCUCGGCUAGGGAUAAUACCAGUAUGAAGAGUUUGGAAGACAUUUUCAAUACAGUGCUGCUGCAGCAAAAUGCGUUGGCCUCACCUCCCGGAAAGAAAGGUCUGCUAAUAGAUCAUUGCCACUUGGUGAUACUCAAUAUUGUACCAUUGGGCAUCGAAUCAUUAGUCACUAAUCGUCAGUUGUUGGAAAUUUCUCCACUAUUGGAUGUGGAGAUACACACGGUUAACGCCCCCGAUAUAUCCGAUAAGCUGUUACACCUGAUAAUGGGACAUUAUGAUCUGGCCAGCACCACAGUGACCAAUAUACCAAUGAAGGAGGAACAGAACGCCAAUUCGAGCGCCAAUUACGACGUGGAAAUAUUGCAUGAGCGUGCCGCGCACACUAAAGUGUGUGGACCGGAUUUCACUCUUCCAACAAGCAUAAAGGUGGGCACAUCCUACGAAACGGUCACGCUAAAAUGGUGCACACCUCGUGGAUGUGGCUCUGCAGAUCUGCAGCCCUGCGUCGGUCAAUUCAAUGUGACCCCCGUGGAUGUUACUUCGCGUCCAAGCUCAUGCCUAAUUAACUUUCUGCUAAACGGUCGCUCGGUGUUGUUGGAGGUGCCACGAAAAACGGGCACAAAGACCACCAGCCAUAUGUUGUCCGCUCGUGGGGGUGAAAUAUUUGUGCACUCGCUUUCAAUAGCACGUUCAACGAUGGAUGAAGCACCUUCAAUUAGCGAUGGACCUGGUGGACGUGUUGCAGAUUAUCGCAUUGCUGAAAUGGGCCAGUUACUCAAGAUGUCACGUAUGGUGCCGCUGAAGGCCAAGCCCAAAAGCAGAAUCUCCCCUGGCGAGCAUUUAUGGCGACGCAUGCCUCGAUACUUUCCGAGAACUACCAACGUUACGAUUCUUUUCAACUUGCAGCGGCAAUUGGCGUGGCUGCCGCACUUCCUACAUCUGCUGGUCAAGGAGGACAUGGACAAGCAGGAGGAGGUGCGCUGCCAGCAGCACAUCCAUGAGUUGUACAAAAGUGCAUCACGUGGUGAAAUGCUGCCCUUUGGUAACACAAACAACAUACGGCCGAAGGCAAGCAAAAGCAAGGAUCAGUAUCGACUUUUCUACAGAGAACUGGAACAAUUAAUUCAGCUCAAUGCUCAGACGACUCACCACAAGAACUUGCUGGAGAGUCUGCAAAGUCUGCGUGCAUCUUAUGGCGAUGUGACUAAUAAAUCUGAAGCGGGCGUCGCCCACUUGCGUUCGUACACUGAGUCACCACUUUCACCCGAACGCUUGGAGCCCAAUAGCAUAAGCAGCAGCAACGCGUCCAGUAGUCUUCUUAAGGCCAGCAAACGACGCAUGUCCAGCUCGGGACAACGUUCACUUCUGGACAUGAUAAGCAAUGCGGAACGAAAUCAAUCUAGCAAGCGAUUGGAUUUUUCGGGGCGUCUUUGUACACCAUUGGGUCAGACAGCUAAGCUUUACCCUGAUUUUGGAAACAAGGAGAAAGAUGUGUUAACGCCUGGCUUACUAUCGACAAACUUAAAAGACGAAUCGAUUCGCAGCUAAAUUUAAAAAGUCUCUCAGAUGUCCAGUUGACACGAUUCAAAAUAUUUAUUAAAUUGAAACAAACAUCUCCAUUUGUACGAUUUUAUUAUGUUGGGAUUCUGAAGUCAGUCUCUAUUUUUAAUGCAAAAUUUUUUAGUUUAAAUA